CUCUAACGAGCCAGAAUUAAUCUAUUCCCAUAGAUUAAGAGUGCAUUUGUAGGGUUCAGCUUUAUUCCUGCGAGGGUGGUGACACCUUUCAAAAAUUAAAAUGAAGUGAGAAGGCUUAGUAGGGAAACCGAAAAGCUUUUUUACUA
rnacentral:ncRNA from 12 species